AAUGAUUCACCCUGUAUAAAACUAGCUCCCCCUUUAUUUUUUGCUCCAACUUUUCAAAAAACUCUCCACCUUCCUAAGAGGUACUUCCAUCUGGUUCUCGUGGGAACCUUUGAUUUCACUGCCUACUCUUCUAAGUCAUUGAAUAUCUGAUUCCUGAUGAGAAUUUUGAAAACCUUCUCACACAAGAGAUUUCAUUGUUCUAAGGUGUUUGGGAUUUCUCCACUUGUAGGUCGACUUGAAGGAGGCGUACUUCUAAAGUUUGUAAAUCGUCUCUCAUAAUCGUCAAAGGUUGGACUCCAUGAUAGCUCACAUGGUUUAUGUCUGUUACAUGAUAGCUCCCACAAUUUUAGUCAGUAUUCAGUAUGUCUUAGCUCAGGUACCAGUUGUAGCCUACAUGACAUAAUUAGACAGUUUGCAGCUUCCAGCCAGCAGGUGAUGAGUUCUCUUAUUUUGGGGACUCCAGUCAGUAGUAGUUCACAUACUAUUUUUAAUUAUUCAUAUGUAUUGAUUUGUUGCAGUUGGUGGUAUGAGACGCAACUAUUUAUAGUCAGUAUAGUACCGGCUUCAUAGAUAGUCAAUCAAAGUCAUAGAAUGUAAUUCACAUUCUUUCUUAAGAUUUUAUCAGAUUAUAAACUUUAUCUGUUACAUACUUAUUCAAA